rnacentral:misc_RNA from 1 species
CAAUGAUUGCAUAUGGAUUAGGUCUUCUUAUAACAUAUGUAGCAUUGAACUUAAUGGAUGGUCAUGGCCAACCUGCACUUCUUUACAUCGUCCCAUUUACCCUCGGGACCUUUUUGAUGCUGGGGAGAAAGAGAGGUGACCUGAAAAUUCUUUGGACAAAGGGUGAACCAGAAAGGGUGUGUCCACAUGUUCGUCUCGAAUCAAUCGAGGAAUCGAAUCGAGAAGGAUAAGGAUAAUCUUCCUCUUGUAAUUAUAUAACUACAUACUGACCUAAAUG